ensembl:snRNA U1 U1 spliceosomal RNA
ACUCAGACUUGGCAGGGGAGAUACCAUUGUUGUAAAAGUGGUUUUUCCAGGGUAAGGCUUAUCUAUUGUACUUUGGAUGAGCUGACCCCUGUGAUUUCCCCAAACAUGGGAAAAUCAACUGCUUAAGUGGGGGACUGUGUCUCUGGUUUUUCUAGAAUCACUCUUUCCCCUU